rnacentral:miRNA from 1 species
AGGUUGGUGCAAAAGUAAUUGUAGUGUUUGCCAUUAAAAUUGGAAAAACUGCAAUUACUUUUGCGCCAACCUAAU